UACGUAGGGUGCGAGCGUUGUCCGGAAUUAUUGGGCGUAAAGGGCUCGUAGGCGGUUUGUCGCGUCGGGAGUGAAAACACCGGGCUUAACUCGGUGCUUGCUUUCGAUACGGGCAGACUAGAGGCAUGCAGGGGAGAACGGAAUUCCUGGUGUAGCGGUGAAUGACGCAGAUAUCAGGAGGAACACCGGUGGCGAAGGCGGUUCUCUGGGCAUGUCCUGACGCUGAGGAGCGAAAGUGUGGGGAGCGAACAGG
rnacentral:rRNA from 1 species